GAAUGCUGACAUAAGUAACGAUAAAGCGGGUGAAAAGCCCGCUCGCCGGAAGACCAAGGGUUCCUGUCCAACGUUAAUCGGGGCAGGGUGAGUCGACCCCUAAGGCGAGGCCGAAAGGCGUAGUCGAUGGGAAACGGGUUAAUAUUCCCGUACUUGGUGUUACUGCGAAGGGGGGACGGAGAAGGCUAUGUUGGCCGGGCGACGGUUGUCCCGGUUUAAGCGUGUAGGUGUGUGUUCCAGGUAAAUCCGGUUCACUUUAACACUGAGGCGUGACGACGAGGCACUACGGUGCUGAAGCAACAAAUGCCCUGCUUCCAGGAAAAGCCUCUAAGCAUCAGGUAACAUCAAAUCGUACCCCAAACCGACACAGGUGGUCAGGUAGAGAAUACCAAGGCGCUUGAGAGAACUCGGGUGAAGGAACUAGGCAAAAUGGUGCCGUAACUUCGGGAGAAGGCACGCUGACACGUAGGUGAAGUGAUUUACUCAUGGAGCUGAAGUCAGUCGAAGAUACCAGCUGGCUGCAACUGUUUAUUAAAAACACAGCACUGUGCAAACACGAAAGUGGACGUAUACGGUGUGACGCCUGCCCGGUGCCGGAAGGUUAAUUGAUGGGGUCAGCGCAAGCGAAGCUCCUGAUCGAAGCCCCGGUAAACGGCGGCCGUAACUAUAACGGUCCUAAGGUAGCGAAAUUCCUUGUCGGGUAAGUUCCGACCUGCACGAAUGGCGUAAUGAUGGCCAGGCUGUCUCCACCCGAGACUCAGUGAAAUUGAACUCGCUGUGAAGAUGCAGUGUACCCGCGGCAAGACGGAAAGACCCCGUGAACCUUUACUAUAGCUUGACACUGAACAUUGAGCCUUGAUGUGUAGGAUAGGUGGGAGGCUUUGAAGUGUGGACGCCAGUCUGCAUGGAGCCGACCUUGAAAUACCACCCUUUAAUGUUUGAUGUUCUAACGUGGACCCGUUACCCGGGUUGCGGACAGUGUCUGGUGGGUAGUUUGACUGGGGCGGUCUCCUCCUAAAGAGUAACGGAGGAGCACGAAGGUUGGCUAAUCCUGGUCGGACAUCA
rnacentral:rRNA from 1 species